UAGAGGCAGAGAUACUAGCUAAGAAGCUGUUGCAACAAUGAAAGAAGAAAUGAUGAGAACCUAAACUAAGGCAAUACUAAUAGAAGCAAAGAGAAGGGAAGAGAUUUCACAAGUUUAUAAGAAGAAAGUGGUAGGACUUGAAAGUUAAUUGGAUGUAAAGACCAAAGCAAGGGGCAGUCAAGGAUGGCUCCUGGAUUUCUGGCUUGAGAGACUAGGUGGAUGAAAGAGCAGGUAGAAUGAGAAAGAUGAUGCUUUCAGUUUGGGAUAGGUCAAGUUUUGGGUCCCUUAUAGGUCUUUCAGGGAGAAAUGUCUAGCAGGGAUUUGGAUAGAAAUGUCUGGCACUCAGGAGAAAUAGAGAUGAGAACACCAAAGACAGAAUAUAUGGUUCUUCUAGAAGAUCCACUUUCAAUUUUACUAAAGUGAAUGACCCACUUUGAUGAAAAGAAUAAUGACUUCUAAGGUCUCUUACAACUCUAAUGUUACAAUUCUAUUGUUCCAUCUGGAAUUGCCUUUUGAAGACAGCACACCUGUGGCCUAAAACUUCCUUGGUGAACAUGUGAAAUAUUUUUUAAUGAAAGCCCAUUACAUAUAAAGCCAUACAACCCCAAACAUGCAGUGAUAAUGCUUAUAGCAAAGAAAAACCAAGUAAAGACACUAUCUACAUUUACCUACUCUGAUCCCAAUUGGCUGCAAACAGCAAAAGAAUCUUCCUGCCGUAAUGGUCUCGGUUUUCCAGCACCCCGGGGAACCCAUCGAUCAGAGCCCUCUUAAUGCCGGGAUCAUCUGCCUUGAAGUUUUUGAACAUGUCCAGGUUUAGCUGGCGGUACUGGAAAUACUGAGCCAGGAGUCUAAAGGCAUCCGCUUGGUGAAACUUCCUGGCUCGGAGAAAUCUCAGGAUGAAGGCAUCAUCUGGAUCCUGCAAUAGACAGAAGAAAGAUAAUUCCCUGGGAAGUGCUGAGAAAAGGAUGAAAAAUUAAUACCGGUGACAACACUUUGUACAGAAAGUCUAACC
rnacentral:lncRNA from 10 species